rnacentral:rRNA from 1 species
GACGAACGCUGGCGGCGUGCCUAAUACAUGCAAGUAGAACGCUGAAGAGAGGAGCUUGCUCUUCUUGGAUGAGUUGCGAACGGGUGAGUAACGCGUAGGUAACCUGCCUGGUAGCGGGGGAUAACUAUUGGAAACGAUAGCUAAUACCGCAUAAAAUUGAUUAUUGCAUGAUACUUAAUUGAAAGAUGCAACUGCAUCACUACCAGAUGGACCUGCGUUGUAUUAGCUAGUUGGUGGGGUAACGGCUCACCAAGGCGACGAUGCAUAGCCGACCUGAGAGGGUGAGAGGCAACACUGGGAUGGGGACACGGCCAAGAAUACUGCGGGAGAGAGCAGUAGGGGAUCCUCGGCAAUGGGGGGAACGCUGAACGAGCAACGCCGCGUGAGUGAAGAAGGUUUUCGGAUCGUGAAGCUCUGUUGUGAGAGAAGAACGGGUGUGAGAGUGGAAAGUGCAGACUGUGACAGUAUCGUACCAGAAAGGGACGGCUAACUACGUG